UGUCUGUCGGCAAUCCCUCACGCAGUUUUCUACUUCCGGGCUUCGUGCUGUUGCCAGGAAACCGUUGGAGAAUACAGGAAGUGACUUUCCGUUCAAGAUAUAUAAAGGGUUUCUUCUAGUUCCAGAUGUGUGACAUAUCCUGUAUUACACUGUCUAUGGACAUGCCACUCUGCAUGGGUUCUCCAGGUGGGAGUGGAACAGGUUGCUACGAGUCAGAGGAACCCCCAGAACCGACUCGAUGAUGUAGCCGAUGGUGCAGUCGUCAGGCAGACGGAUUUUCUCCGCUGUGUUCAUGAAGUGACCGCCACUGGAACCACAAACAGAAGAGACAAAGCCAGGAGGCAUAUCAUGCAGCCUAACCCAGAGGGGAUGAGUCCUAGCCCAAACAGAGUUCUCCUCCUGGCUCUGCCAUCCCUGUCUUCUGUCUAACAUCUCGCUGCAACAUGAAGAGCCAUGUGAGAACCUCUUUUGCUGACACGAAAUCUGCUCAUCGUGGGAAUGUUUCAUUACCUUUGAAAUUAAAUCAAAGUGCUUUGGUGUGUCUUUGCCUACAGGUCAUUGAAUGUUUGGCAACAACAUUGUUCUGUAUAGUAUGGUGGCCCUGAAGGAUAAAACAAAUUUACAAAAGAUCAAACACUUUUACAAAGUUGGAGACAAA